UACGUAGGUGUCGAGCGUUGUCCGGAUUUAUUGGGCGUAAAGAGCCCGCAGGCGGCUUGGCAAGUUUGCGGUGAAAUCUCCCGGCUUAACUGGGAGGGGGCCUCGAAAACUGCCAGGCUUGAGGCAUGGAGAGGGAUGCGGAAUUCCCGGUGUAGUGGUGAAAUGCGUAGAUAUCGGGAGGAACACCAGUGGCGAAGGCGGCAUCCUGGCCAUGUCCUGACGCUCAGGGGCGAAAGCGUGGGGAGCAAACCGG
rnacentral:rRNA from 1 species